rnacentral:rRNA from 1 species
AGAAUCAACGCUGGCGGCGUGCCUAACACAUGCAAGUCGAACGAGAAAGUGGAGCAAUCCAUGAGUACAGUGGCGACCGGGUGAGUAACACGUGACUACCUACCCUUGAGUGGGGGAUAACCUCGGGAAACCGAGGCUAAUACCGCAUAAUAUCGAGAGAUCAAAGGAGUAAUCCGCUUUUGGAGGGGGUCGCGGCUGAUUAGCUAGUUGGUAGGGUAAUGGCCUACAAAGGCGAAGAUCGGUAUCCGGCCUGAGAGGGCGCACGGACACACUGGAACUGAAACACGGUCCAGACUCCUACGGAAGGCAGCAGUGGGGAAUUUUGCGCAAUGGGGGAAACCCUGACGCAGCAACGCCGCGUGGAGGAUGAAGCCCCUUGGGGUGUAAACUCCUUUCGACCGGGAAAAUAAUGAUGGUACCGGUGGAAGAAGCACCGGCUAACUCUGCGCCAGCAGCCGC